rnacentral:rRNA from 1 species
AACUUCCUACGGGGGGCAGCAGUGGGGAAUAUUGCGCAAUGGGCGAAAGCCUGACGCAGCGACGCCGCGUGAGGGAUGAAGGUGUUCGAAUCGUAAAGCUCUGUCAGCAGGGAAGAACGGUCACUGUGCUAAUCAGCAGUGAAUUGACGGUACCUGCAAAGGAAGCACCGGCUAACUCCGUGCCAGCAGCCGCGGUAAUACGGAGGGUGCGAGCGUUAAUCGGAAUUACUGGGCGUAAAGCGCUCGUAGGCGGUAUGUCAAGUCAAGGGUGAAAUCCCCGCGCUCAACUGGGGA